ensembl:lncRNA
GUCCUCUCUCCAUUCCUGUUCUCAGGUUUCGGGGAACGUGUGAACAGCCGACAUGUCUUGAGUUUUCGUCCCUACGCUCGGCUCACAUGGCAGACACGAACCGAUCUAUGCCACCGGGAUAGGCGGCAGCAUGGCGAGCAUGGUAGGCACCUGCACUGGCCCCUCCGAGCUGCCCUCCAGGGUUGUAGCACGGCGCCAGCGCUCCGAACUGGCCGGGCGACGCGCGCCCGUAGAAGUCCACCGCGGUCUCCACGCCGCCACUGCUGCCGCCCGCGGGGGGCGAAGCGGGUCCCGCCAGGCGGCCAGCAGCGGCAAAGAUCGUACUGCCGGCGCCCUGCGGGUACGCGCCGUCGGGGCCCGCGUAGGCAGCCGCAUAGGCCGAGGGUUGGCCGGCCGGGCUCCGGUGCAGCCGGCGGGCUGGUAGCCGGUGGCGGUAGCAGGGGCGCCGGCGGAGGCGAAGGCGCAAGAGCCGCCGGACCCCGACGGUGCGGGCCCCAGCUCUGGACUGAGCGGCCGCUCAGGAACCAGGCCGAAGACGCGGCAAGGGCCGGGCGACGCCGCGGGGUAGUAGACUGGAGGCGGCGCGGCCAGCGACGGCGGCGCGUAGCCUGCAUAGACGGCGCCCGGGUAGGGCGGGCGCGCGGCAGGCACCGCGCCCGGGAAGAUGGCGGCGGCGGCGGCGGCGGCGGCUGCUGCGGCGGCGGCCGCCGCGUCGUGCAUGUAGGCCGGAUAGGUGGAGAGGUCCGAGCGCUUGAAGCGCUUGCGGCGGCGCAGGAAGCUGCCGCUCUCGAACAUGUCCUCCGCGUUGGGAUCGAGCGCCCAGUAGUUGCCCUUACCCGGGCGACCGGCCUCGCGCGGGAUCUUGAGGAAGCAGUCGUUGAGCGUGAGGUUGUGGCGGAUGCUGUUCUGCCACUUUUUGGGGUUGUCGCGGUAGAAGGGGAAGCGCUCGGUGAUGAACUUGUAGAUGCCGCCCAGCGUGAGGCGGCGCUCGGGCGCGUGAGCGAUGGCCAUGGCUAUGAGCGCUAUGUAGCUGUAGGGCGGCUUCCCGCGCUGCAGGGGGCGCUUACGGCGCCGCCCGCCCGCCCGCGGCCCGCGGCCUCCCUGGGACCCCGGCCCCUGCCGCCGUCUGGCCGCGCUCUUCCUUCACGGCAGCCAGCACCUCCGGCUGCGGCGGCGGAGGCCCGCUCUCGGCCGUCAUGGCGCGGCCGUCCCGCACUCCCGGGCUCUGGAUCCCUGCAGCUGUCGGGGGGCGGGGGCGGGCCUAGGGUCCCGGGAACGCACGCUUGGCCCCUCUGCGGAGAGCUCAGGGGAUCCUCACAGGCUGGCCCCGAGAGGCGGCCCAGGCUGGCGCGCGCUGGAGGCUCGGCGUCCGUCGUCUGGGGCUGGCGCUGUGCAGACAGAAGCUCGAGAGUGACCCGCUCGCCGACGGCUCAGCCCGCGUGGUGCAGCUCGAGGCGGGCAGCGGCGGUGGCCUCGCGACUGGGACUGGACUCUGGUCGCCGGCUGAAGGGUACCGUGCGCGCUGGUGCCGGGCGGUCGAGGGGUCCGGAAGUGAUCCCUGGGUUGGGGUGGCUGCAGCUGGUCUGUGGUGCCGGCUGGUUUCAGGAUUACUGCCUACGUUGUGCGCGCAGAAGAGGCUUCGGGCUCAAAGGCCAGAGCCAGGUCAGUUAG